rnacentral:rRNA from 1 species
AGAGCGAACGCUGGCGGCAGGCUUAACACAUGCAAGUCGAGCGGAUGUAGCAAUACAUCAGCGGCAGACGGGUGAGUAACACGUGGGAACGUACCUUUUGGUUCGGAACAACACAGGGAAACUUGUGCUAAUACCGGAUAAGCCCUUACGGGGAAAGAUUUAUCGCCGAAAGAUCGGCCCGCGUCUGAUUAGCUAGUUGGUGAGGUAAUGGCUCACCAAGGCGACGAUCAGUAGCUGGUCUGAGAGGAUGAUCAGCCACAUUGGGACUGAGACACGGCCCAAACUCCUACGGGAGGCAGCAGUGGGGAAUAUUGGACAAUGGGCGCAAGCCUGAUCCAGCCAUGCCGCGUGAGUGAUGAAGGCCGUAGGGUUGUAAAGCUCUUUUGUGCGGGAAGAUAAUGACGGUACCGACAAGAAUAAGCCCGGCUAACUCGCGCCAGCAGCCGC